UACCUGGUUGAUCCUGCCAGUAGUCAUAUGCUUGUCUCAAAGAUUAAGCCAUGCAAGUCUAAGUACGAGCUCUCGUACAGUGAAACUGCGAAUGGCUCAUUAAAUCAGUUAUGGUUCAUUUGAUCGUACAGUUUACUUGGAUAACUGUGGUAAUUCUAGAGCUAAUACAUGCGAGAAGCGCCGACCUCGCGGGAGGCGUGCAUUUAUCAGACCAAAAACCGGCCGCGUCUUCGGGCGCGUUCGCCUUGGUGACUCUGGAUAACUUUGCGGAUCGCACGGUCUAGCACCGGCGACGGAUCAUUCAAGUGUCUGCCCUAUCAACUUUCGUCGGUACGGUAUUUGCCUACCGAGGUUCUUACGGGUGACGGGGAAUCAGGGUUCGAUUCCGGAGAGGGAGCCUGAGAAACGGCUACCACAUCCAAGGAAGGCAGCAGGCGCGCAAAUUACCCAUUCCCGACGCGGGGAGGUAGUGACGAAAAAUAACAAUGCAGGACUCGUUCGAGGCCCUGUAAUUGGAAUGAGUACACUUUAAAAGCUUUAACGAG
rnacentral:ncRNA from 1 species